rnacentral:rRNA from 1 species
AUACGGAGGGUGCAAGCGUUACUCGGAAUUACUGGGCGUAAAGGACGCGUAGGCGGUUUAGAAAGUCAGAUGUGAAAGCCUAUGGCUUAACCAUAGAACUGCAUCUGAAACUCCUAGACUAGAGUGAGGGAGAGGUCUGUGGAAUUAGUGGUGUAGGGGUAAAAUCCGUAGAGAUCACUAGGAAUAUUCAUAGCGAAGGCGACUGACUGGAACUUUACUGACGCUGAGGCGUGAAAGCGUGGGGAGCAAACAGGAUUAGAAACCCCAGUAGUCC